rnacentral:snRNA from 1 species
AUCGCUUCUUGGCCUUUUGGCUAAGAUCAAGUGUAGUAUUACAUCUUCAAUUGCAGUAUGCUAUCACAUUUUGGGGGAAAAACAAAAAAUAUGUUAGUGUUACACUGAAAUGUAAAAAAAAAAAAAACUUUU